UACGUAGGGUGCGAGCGUUGACCGGAUUUAUUGGGCGUAAAGCGUGCGUAGGCGGGUGUGCAAGUCAGAUGUGAAAUCCCAGGGCUCAACCCUGGAAUAGCAUUUGAAACUGCGAUUCUAGAGUGCGGUCGGAGAAAACAGAAUUCCACAAGUAGCGGUGAAAUGCGUAGAUAUGUGGAAGAAUACCUGUGGCGAAGGCGAUUUUCUAGCUUAGAACUGACGCUGAGGCGCGAAAGCAAGGGGAGCAAACAGG
rnacentral:rRNA from 1 species